rnacentral:rRNA from 1 species
GCUAAGAAUAUUCCGCAAUGGACGAAAGUCUGACGGAGCGACGCCGCGUGGAUGAGGAAGGCCGAAAGGUUGUAAAGUCCUUUUGUCGAUGAAGAAUAAGUGGUGGAGGGAAUGCCAUCAUGAUGACGUUAGUCGGCGAAUAAGCCCCGGCUAAUUACGUGCCAGCAGCCGCGGUAACACGUAAGGGGCAAGCGUUGUUCGGAAUUAUUGGGCGUAAAGGGUACGUAGGCGGUUAUGUAAGCCCGGCGUGAAAUCCUGCAGCUUAACUGUAGAGCUGCGCUGGGAACUGCGUAACUUGAGUCAUGGAAGGGAAGUUAGAAUUCCAGGUGUAGGGGUGAAAUCUGUAGAUAUCUGGAAGAAUACCGGUGGCGAAGGCGAACUUCUGGCCAAUGACUGACGCUGAGGUACGAAAGUGCGGGGAGCAAACAGGAUUAGAUACCCGUGUAGUCC